UCUAGUCAGUUCAGUUAAGAGUCUCUACCUCUAGUUCAGCACUUACAUUAGAAACACACUACCCACUAUUUGGAAGUCUCUACCUCUAGUUCAGCACUUACAUUAGAAACCCACUAUUUGGAAGUCUCUACCCACUAUUUGGGAUGCAUCUUCAGGACACGGCCUUCUCCGUCGUCUAGUUGGUAACCAGAAUCUCCUGUAGGGAGAGCGGACAUUGUGUGUAUAGAUCUAUACGGGAUUGACAACCCCGCACCCAGACUGCUAGCUACAGUCCCGGCCUACCAAGCCAACGGGUGACAAAUGUCAUAUUUUAGACGCUUGUAGGGCAUCUGGUACUCUAGUCAGUAUGGUUAUGAGUAUCCCGGGUUACCUUAUAAUUCUUUGGCCUUAAGGUAACGGUAUUUCACUGGCAAUUUACACUGUAUGCUGGUAAUUCAUUUUCAGAGUCACACUGUUUUGACCUUACAAGACGUACCUUUCAUUUGGUACGUUCUGGGGUCUGAGUCUCUAUUUGUGAGACUGAACCAGGCAUGUCGUUUGUUCGAUACUCUCCUGCAGUCUAUGAUUCCUUGCCUUAGUCAGCCGUCCUCACUGCUGAGGCGUAUGUUAUUCCCUGAUGUCGUUUGCUUUCCUCAAUAAUCAAAUUCAGUAUUUUGAUAAUGAUAGCAAUUUAAGGAAAACUACUUUUUACCACAUAACACUGACCAGCCUUGGUAGAAGGCUGCUUUAUUAAAGAAAAUAUAGGAUUUUUUGGAAAGAACUCUAAUGCACUGUAACACUUAAACUACUACUUUAUAAAGUUAUUUGACUAAAUGACACUAAAUACUUAUGAACUCACCAGCAUUUGUAAAAAUGCUAAUACUUGCUUUUCAAAUAACUUGUAUCCUCGGGUUAGCAUUAGACAGGUACAUCCCAGGAGCUGUUGAUGAAGAUAGCUUAGUACCACGCUGUAUUUAUUCUAUUUGCUUGUAUACUUUAAUACGUUGUAAUGUAACCAUGUAAAAUUAUUACUAUUAAUGCAAUGUUUUGUUGUACUUUGAUUACUAUAAUGCAUGUGUUGUGAUACUUGACAUGACGUCAUCCACCCCAGAACGUUUCCGCCGUUUCGGUUUUGGGGUGUGACAGAUUGGUAUCAGAGCAUUGUUUAUAGGUAGGUAAGUAUAUCAAUUCAUAAAACAUAUACAACCUAUAAACACAAUGGGAUAAAACACUUUGACCAAGAAUUAUACUUUAAAAUAUAACCAUAUUUUACCAAAGUAUAAUAACAUCCAGAACGUAAACACUCGAACACAAGUAUCACAAGAAGAACAAUAAUAAAAGUCUUCGGAUGUUGAGCAUUGCCGUCAAACCUGGGCAGUUAUGUAAUCGUAAGCUGGGAUAAAUGUAACCUAAUCAACUACAUUUAUCUGAGAUGCGAUGAACGUGUGCUCGGGAGUGAUAGUGGUGUGCGGCAGGUCUGAAACUUACCAACUAGGAUUGCUAGAGCCAAACAUAAAGUUAAAAUACUAUAGGAGUAUUUUAGAACACUAAAAGAUCCACACUAAUCCCAGAAUCAUAAUCAGAAGAUAAGAAUCAAACAAGAAUUAAAAUACCAUAGGGGUAUUUUAGAAUCCAUAAACAACCUUGCGUGAAGCACUAAAAAGAUCCUUAUUGAUAUACCUACAAAUAUAGAGGGUGUACUCCCAAGGUUAUAUAUAAUAAGGAUCCCAUAGGCUAAGAAUGUGUGGUUUCUCUCUACUUCCUUUUCCUUGAUUGCAUGUGGAUUCCGAGUAGUAUCACAUAUUCGAAGGCCUAUCGAAUCUAAACUAUAUAUGAUUUGUAUACCCUGUGUAAUCAUAGCAGGACUCGAUAUGGAUCAUCUAGUGGAAUGUUAAUAAUCUCUUAGGAUUCUUUAGACAUUUCCAUUCUCGCACGAACCCUAUAGAAAACCCUACCCACUUCAGUGCUUCACAGAAGAGUUGAUUCAGACCCAGAAGAGGUUCAUUGAGAAGAUUUCCUGUUCGGAAAUAAAUGAACUGGGUUGAGACUAUUGAAUUCACCAAGUGCCCAUAUCUUUUAGGGACAUCGGUGAGAGAUUCGCCAAAACUUCGGAGAUUCCCAGUCAUCCAUCAUGAAGUGGUGACACCCGGAGUUGGAAUCAGAAGGAAGGCGGAGUAGAAAUUCAAUAUGUUUUCACCAGAGAAGAACCCUAGGUAACUACCCGAAGGAAACCAACGCCGAUUCCAGUCAAAGAUACGAGGCAGACCGAGGGAGCCAGUACAUGGAACUCGAGAAUUGUCUUUUCCUCGUGUUCGUCACGCUAAUACACCCAUAAAAUAAUACAAUUUAGUGAGUUAGUGGUUACACUACUCACGCUAUGUGUUAGUUAAAUCGUCGAUUCUCGUUGCCAGAUACACGAUUAGGACGGAUCCCUUCACCUUUAUUGAGAGUGCUAAGCCAUGAGCUUUCAUGAGCCUCUCUUUCCGCAGUUUCGUUCCGAACCGUUCUCAAAUCUCUCCAGGCCGGAGAGUGAAACCUUUCCCAGUAUAAAAGGUGACUUGGUAGGAAGGACUCGCAUCUUAUGGCCUUUUUCCGAUACUCAUACACCUACCUCGAUUACCAGGACUACAUCAUAGGGAUGUAGGUCGACACUCAGAUGACCAGUACCCGAGGCACGGGAAAAUUUAUGCCUAAUACGUUCAGGACAAAAAUGUCAAGGGUUAACCAUCGGGUCUCAUUACCUUGUAUUCCUUUCCGUGUAGGAAAACCAUGCCACCGAAGAAGCGUAACCAAUCCACAAGCAAGAAACCUGCUCUCUUAUUCGAUGAAGCUACGUUCCAAGCUGCAGUCUCGGCAGCCGUAGCAACUGUCAUGGCUCANUGGCUCACCUGAAUGCUAACACCGCCAAAGUUAGCAAGGGCCCUGUUGGGAUUUCCAAUCCUGGCGAUGGACAGCAGCAACCAACACUUCCAUACUCAGCCACUCAAGAACCUCCACUAAACCCACUAAAGAGAAAACUCAAGAUAGAGGAGGGAAGUACCUCGGCUCAAGGACCUUCCGAAGGGCAACGAGCUGAGGCAGUCUAUACCCCUGUCAAUCCUUCCCUCCCGACCUCAAGAAGACCAUACCUAGGAGACCUUCCCCACUGCAGCAAGUGCAGCUACCAUCAUCAUGGUGUCUGCCGGGAGCUCUAUUGUGCUAGGUGCCACAUGUUGGGGCAUACUGCUCGCGUCUGCAGAACCCCGGUUGAGUUCAUUACAUCAACCACCAAUGUCGCGACCCGUACAGUUUGCCACCUAUGUGGUAAAAUGGGACACUUUAAGAGGGAUUGCCCAAUUGAAGGGAACAACAAAGACACAGAAGGAGCCUGACACUACUGCUUAGGGAGAAGCGGCAAGGAACUCAUUAGAUUUUGGUACGUCUCUCAUCUCGGAUAACUAAACUAAAAACAAUAAAAGACUAAUUCAAAUGUAAAUUCUUCCCAGUAAGGCGAAAGUCGCAGCACUGUUAUAAAAUUUAAAAAUUCAUCAGGUAAAACUAUAAUGGCUAAACAUAUACGUUACGACCAUGUAUAUUUAAGAUGGACAGACCUAGAGUGAGCGAAUGCCGCCUCAUUUCCUGUUCCUCGUUUGGUUGUGGAUUUAGGGCGGGGUCGCUCAGUCAACAAUCCUCUCCACCUUAAAUAUACAUGACUAGUAUAUGUGAGGCGAUUAUAGAAAUGCCUUGUGAGAAUUCCUUCAUGGAAAGAUACUCUAUUCGGGAACACUUAGGACUCUCUAUAGUUCCGCGUCGACUCUAUCGGUCCAGGUAUCCGCGGUAGUGAUACAUAGGUCGAAACCCGAGACGCCUAGAACUUGUGUGCCUGUUCGGCACAUGACUCUAUCGAUCUUCAUUAUAUAUCAUGUCGGAGUGUGCCAACUUCGACGACUCUAUUGAUCAUGGUUCGACUUCGUGCAACCAUGUGUACAUUCUUAGUGCUGUGUAAAAAGAACUUUCUCCGUAGCCAUGUCGGCAAAUAAAGGUUCUCCCGAACCUAAACCUAGCAUAAUUAAUCAAACCUAAUGCAAUCCGUCAAUCGUCCCUCUUAACUCAAACCUUCUGAGGUAAUCAAGAGAGGGUACCACGCACCGUCGACCGACCCCUCGUAGUCAGAUGAACACCGAAGCGAAGGACACUGUAGAAACUCCAGAAGACGACAACCAUCCGAAGCAUACUUCGUAGAUUCCCCAGAAAGACCCUUCGCACCUCGCACAUCAGGUUCGUGAACCCAGAGAACAAAACUCGUGAGGCCCUAUACUCACUAGAUUUGACUUAGACCAAGGAAACUUAGAACCUUCGGAAGAGUAGUUGCAGUAGAUGUUCGCACUACUCAGGCACCUUGUCCACCCAAUUAUAGACAAGUGGUGCUUAUCAUCCUCCAGCCUCUCGCAAGGAGGAAAUCGUCGUCGCCCGGUAGACGAAGAAUCACACUUUCCGAAACCGAGAACCACAGGAUAACCUUCGCAGCCAAGAAUACUUCAUCAAAGAGCGAAAGUAGUUGCGUUAAGCCUCAUGACCCUAAUCUCGAAGAGGUUAUAGACUUGACACCAGUCCUGGUGUUAGUCGAAAGGUUAUGCAGGAGCAUACACUUUCCACGCUAGAAUAAACCACAGUCUUAGAGAUUCAUUGGACUAUUAGGUGUUCCACGAAUACUAUCUCACGCAGAGAUAGUAAAACCACCUCCCGAGAUAGUCCAACCCUCGUCUGGUGAAACCUUAUAUUCCCGACCCCCAGGGUUUCCGCAUCUCAAGCUUCGUUAGUGCAGAUUCCUUUUGCACAAGCUUGAGAUAGACACUCUACAGCAAACCGAUAACCAUAGUCACGCAACCCACUCGACGAUCUAGAAAGUCUCUAUCAUCUAGUUGACAGACGAUACCAAAGACCACUCGAGAUUCCUAAGAACCAACCUGAAGGACUACACACACAGUGCGAGUGAGAACGUUAGGAACUUCGGAAUGGAGAUCACGCCAGUGAUGAUCUUGCCAUAGAAGUACACUAUGUUCAGAGUACUGAAAAGCUCUACCAUUCCGAGAGCUUAGGACCAUGUGAGAGUCCCCAUGAAGACUUGGUCCAACCCUUUUCAGGCCGCUACUACCUUCGGAUACCCCGCAAGACUCACACUCGAUCAAUCCACUUCUUAGACUUGAUAUGUGAUCUCCCACCAUCACUCUUCGUACCUCACUCAUCUUGAUAGGAACCAUUGAGAACCUUGACUUCAUAGAUACACCAGUCGAAACCCACUAGCUACACUAGACGGAAUCCGCAUCCCGUAUGUGAAGGUCUGUCGGAAUGACAAACACAGACCAGAGAUCACUUGGGAAUGCGAGGACAAACCGUAUAGGAAGUACUCGCUUACCUCUACUUGGCCAUUCAUACCCACUUCCUUGCCUAGACCUGAAUUUCGGGACGAAAUUCCCUCUAACGGGGGGAUGAUGUGACAACCCAAGUUGUCCCGUUACAUUUCCCCGUUACCGUUAACGGAAUAUUCCAUUGUAUAAAAGUUCUGUUAAUUAGAGGGCGUGAAUUAAAUCAACAUUCCAUUGGUUUACAUUAAUAUGCCGUUAAGUCAUGAUAAAAGGAAAUAAAAACACAUAACACACAUUUCCAUUCAAUUGGAAAAAGUUAGUUCUUAUUAUUACGACCACUAAAUCGGGUGCGACCAAAAGCCCCGUUUAACGGCAGUAUCGGGUAAAAUUCUACUGAGCCCCGACUCGGAACCCUAUAUAAAGGUUAGUGGAGUCUAUUGUAAGUCCGCCUACCCUAGCUUAUUCUAAACAUUAUGAUUCGUGUUUAUAGCUUAGAAAAUCGAACCUAGAAGCUGUUGAAAAGGAGUUUACGGCCUAAGCUCCUCCUUAGGCUGUAAACACCUAAAAUGAGGCCAAAAUGACCCCCAAAAGUCCCUAAAAGCUUGGAAAUAAAUAGGGGAAUUAGCCUAGGAGUGUUUUCACAUUUAAAACAAUCAUUUUGAGGCCUAAAAGAGAGUUUACGGCCCAAGCAUAUGCCAAGGCCGUAAACACCUCUAAACUAUGUCAAAAUGCCUCCAAAACACUCCUAAACCACCCUAGGGCUUAACACAUAAAUUAGGGGCUUAUUCUCUUGGGUUUAGAUCACUUAAACAUUAAGAAUUGGAGGAUUAAAAGGAGUUUACGGCCCAGACAUGUGUCAAGGCCAUAAACUCCCCAAACCAAGCCAAAAUGUUGGUUUUUGUCCCCCAAAUGGCCUUAGACAUUUACCAUAAAAUACUAGGAUUGAAACAAGGGCUUAAACUCAAAGCAUGGAGGGUGUAUGAGAGUUCAUGGCCAAGCCAUAGAUCUUAUGGCUGUAAACUCUCAAAGGUUGGUCAUUUGGACCAUAAACUCUAAAGGAGACCCCUUUUGGAGCCCCAAACACCCCUGUAGCCUUGAAUAAAUUACUAGAAGUGAUAUAAGGGCUUGAAACUUAACCAAACUAAAGGGAUGAGAGUUUACGGCCGUAAACUCCCUUAGGAGUUGUCCCUAGGCCGUAAACUCCAAUAUGAUGCCCUUAGAAGCCUUAAACCCACUCAUGUCUUUUUGGAAAAGUACUUAGAAUAAUCCCAUGAACAAGUAGAAGCCAUAAAAAACACUAGAUACCCUCACCAUGAGUUUACGGCCGUAAACUCAUGGUGAGAUGUCCCUGGGCCGUAAACACAACUUUGGGAGUUUACUCUCGGAUAAUAAACUCCAUUCCUAAGCCAUACACACCUUUAGACGCUACCCGGGACACCCAAACACUUAUCUAAAGUGUUUUCUGCCCCUUGUGACCGCGUAUAUUUGUUUAAUUAGUAUUAAAUAUACUAAUUGUAUGUGAACAUAUGUUAUCAUAUGUUAAUUAGGUCAUUGUGUGUUCGAGUCCUUGCGUGAUACAGAGCACCCAACCGGCGCCUUCUUCGGACCUACUUACACCAGGUGAGUUCAUACCCCUGAAUGAACCUUUUAAAUGUUUUUACAUGUUUUAUAGGCGGUCAAUACCAGUUAAACAUGGCAGUUAUCAUAUCAAUCACAUGUGAUUGAUAACCCGCAUGCUCAAGAUUUUACCACAGUGUACACUGUUUUACCGAGUAGGACACUAUGAUGGUUUUCAAAAGGGAUUUCAACUGUUUCAAAACUCUUACAUGUGCUGUUAUAUCUAAAUUCAUUUUAAACUGGUUUAUAAAGGUUCCAAAGAUUUUAAAGGCUUUCAAACUUAUUUUACCAAGAACACCAAAUGCGAUUUUCCUAAAUAUAAAGGUUUCCAAGGUUUUUAUCAAAGUUCCUUUCACGACGUAUACUUUUACAUGUUUGUUACUGCUGCUUCGCUUUUACUUAUCUAAAACUCCUACUUGAUAACGCAAUUCUUUCGUGAUACACUUAUACCUGAUGGACGCUUAUACUUAUUCACACUCUUACUUAGUGAUACGAUUUUACUUCACUUAUACUUGAUAUCGCCUCUACUUCACUUAUACUCGAUACGCUCUUACUUCACUUAUUGUCGUCUCUACUUCAUGAUACGCUUAUACUUAUUCGACACUCCUACUUCACUUGCGACCGCUCCUACUUCACUUGUUAGACACUCCUACUUCACAAGAAUCACUUCUACUUGAUACAUACUCAGUCGCAGUUAGAUGUAUGUCUGUGCUUAUAUUGGUACAUAUAAGUAAUGAUUGAAAGACUUAGGAAGGCUCGUCCGCCCUAUUUCCUUUUCUUCGUUGAGAUGUGGUCUGGUGGGAUCGGAUGGCCGUCCAAAGGUCGUUUGAUUCAUUAGUUAUAUAUUAUGUAUAUGAGUAUGGACAUAUAGGAAUUCUCUAGUCAGUUCAGUUAAAAGUCUCUACCUCUAGUCUACACUUACAUUAGAAACCCACUAUUGGGAAGUCUCUACCUCUAGUUCAACACUUACACACUACCCACUAUUUGGAAGUCUCUACCUACUAUUUGGGAUGCACCUUCAGGACACAGCCUUUUCCGUCGUCUAGUUGGUAACCAGAAUCUCCUGUAGAGAGAGCGGACAUUGUGUGUAUAGAUCUAUAUGAGAUUGACAACCCCGCACCCAGACUGCUUGCUACAGUCCCGGCCUACCAAGCCAUCAGGUGACAAAUGUCAUAUUUUAGACGCUUGUAGGGCAUCUGGUACUCUAGUCAGUAUGGUU
rnacentral:lncRNA from 1 species